rnacentral:rRNA from 1 species
UACGAAGGGGGCUAGCGUUGCUCGGAAUCACUGGGCGUAAAGCGCACGUAGGCGGCUUUUUAAGUCAGGGGUGAAAUCCUGGAGCUCAACUCCAGAACUGCCUUUGAUACUGAGAGGCUCGGGUCCGGGAGAGGUGAGUGGAACUGCGAGUGUAGAGGUGAAAUUCGUAGAUAUUCGCAAGAACACCAGUGGCGAAGGCGGCUCACUGGCCCGGUACUGACGCUGAGGUGCGAAAGCGUGGGGAGCAAACAGG